rnacentral:sRNA from 1 species
CGGGACAGGUACAGCACAGGCAGCGACAGUGCGAGCUUUCCCCACACCACCCCGUCCAUGUGCCUCAACCCUGACCUGGAGGGACCACCUCUAGA